GGACCAUCAUGUCGGUCGUGCCUCGGUACGUACUGGUAUUGUUGGUUUCUCCCUUCUGACGAACCAUGAUGUCAUUUAUUUGGUGUUGUGGGGAAUCAGGACUGUUACUUUGAAAAAAUUAGAGUGUUUAAAGCAGGCUUAUUAGGCUUGAAUACAUUAGCAUGGAAUAAUGAAAUAGGACGAUUGGUCCUAUUUUUGUUGGCUUCUAGGAUUAACGUA
rnacentral:rRNA from 1 species